UGUGUUUGAUUGCUAGCUUGUAGCUAAGCUAGCAGUCAUUUAAAAAAUGAUGUAGCUAUGUAUGAUUGUUUGAAUGCUAACGUUUGCUCAAAACGCCAUUCAGCUGACAGCCUUUGUUGUGAUUGAUGCUAAUUUGUAGCCAGCAGCAGAAGUCCUUUCA